rnacentral:rRNA from 1 species
CAAGUCGAACGGUGACCCUCGGAGCUUGCUCUGAGGUGAUCAGUGGCGAACGGGUGAGUAACACGUGAGUAACCUGCCCCAGACUCUGGGAUAACCCCGGGAAACCGGAGCUAAUACCGGAUACGACACGAAGAGGCAUCUCUAUCGUGUGGAAAGUUUUUCGGUCUGGGAUGGACUCGCGGCCUAUCAGCUUGUUGGUGAGGUAAUGGCUCACCAAGGCGACGACGGGUAGCCGGCCUGAGAGGGCGACCGGCCACACUGGGACUGAGACACGGCCCAGACUCCUACGGGAGGCAGCAGUGGGGAAUAUUGCACAAUGGGCGAAAGCCUGAUGCAGCGACGCCGCGUGAGGGAUGAAGGCCUUCGGGUUGUAAACCUCUUUCAGCAGGGAAGAAGCGAAAGUGACAGUACCUGCAGAAGAAGCACCGGCUAACUACGUGCCAGCAGCCGCGGUAAUACGUAGGGUGCGAGCGUUGUCCGGAAUUAUUGGGCGUAAAGAGCUUGUAGGCGGUUUGUCGCGUCUGCUGUGAAAUUUCGGGGCUCAACCCCGAACUUGCAGUGGGUACGGGCAGACUAGAGUGUGGUAGGGGAGACUGGAAUUCCUGGUGUAGCGGUGAAAUGCGCAGAUAUCAGGAGGAACACCGAUGGCGAAGGCAGGUCUCUGGGCCACUACUGACGCUGAGAAGCGAAAGCAUGGGGAGCGAACAGGAUUAGAU